GACGAACGCUGGCGGCGUGCUUAACACAUGCAAGUCGAACGGAAAGGCCCUGCUUGUGUGGGGUGCUCGAGUGGCGAACGGGGGAGUAACACGUGAGUAACCUGCUCUUGACUUUGGGAUGACUUCAGGAAACUGGGCCUAAUACCGGAUAGGAGCCCCUGUUGCAUGGUGGGGGUUGGAAAGUUUCGGCGGUCGGGGAUGGACGCGCGGCUUAUCAGCUUGUUGGUGGGGUAGUGGCUUACCAAGGCUUUGACGGGUAGCCGGCCGGAGAGGGUGACCGGCCACAUUGGGACUGAGGUACGGCGCAGUCUGCUACGGGAGGCAGCAGUGGGGAAUAUUGCACAAUGGGCGGAAGCGUGUUGCAGCGGCGCCGCGUGCGGAAUGACGGCCUUCGGGUUGUAAACCGCUUUCGCCUGUGACGAAGCGUGAGUGACGGUAAUGAGUAAAGAAGCACCGGCUAACUACGUG
rnacentral:rRNA from 1 species